ensembl:lncRNA
AUGGGAACUAAAAGCCGGUCCAGGAACUCUGAGCCCUGGGUCAUCUACUCCAGCUUCACUGGGCUGAGAAAUAGACUGUGUCUUGUUGACACCGCUCCUGUUUCAGUUUUGUCAUUCUCUUUGGAAAGUUUGUGGGAUGCUCUGGGCUUCAUUCCUUUGAGGGUUCUUGUCCGCGGGGCCAGCAGAUGGCUCUGGGGACCUAGUGAGGAGGCUCACAGCCCUGCAGAGUCUUAUCCAUUAACACACAUACCGGGUGUAGGGAGGAGUUCUGCCCUUGCCACUUCCGUGGGAGGAGGGCGGUGGGGAAGCCAGGACGGUCCUGCAGUUCCAGCGUGGCCUCCUCUGCUGAGGCUCCCGGCGGUCCUGACAGAUGGGGCCGGGUCCUGCUACCACCUGAAGCGUGACAUGUGGCGGCCACCUCCCCGGGGUCCUGCUGAACAUCUACUCUUUCAGGCCCCAGGGCCUCCCCUUCCUUUCGGACCGCGAGGAGAACAGCACACCAUUGCCAGCCGCUUGUUGACGGCUGUGAAGGGGUCCCUUCUCCAGAGGGGGGUCCUUCUGGGGCUGCUGAAGCCAAGAGUCACUAAGGGCACCUGCCGCCUCCUCUGCCCCAGGGCGCCUCUGACCUCGCGGCUGCCCGCAGCCCUCCAACCCGCCCCGCGCCCGAGCCAGUACCACACGAGCCUUGUGCGUCCCGGCCCCGCCGUCAGCCCCGGCGCCCGCCCUGCCUGCCGACCUCCCUGGGGCGGAGGACUCGGGGCCCGCGGGGGUCGGCGCAGGGCGGAAGGCGGGAACGCCGCGGCCGGAGGCGCAGUGAGGGCGGCGGCCACAGGGCGGCAGCACCACCGCUGCUGCUCCGACCCCUGCGCCUGGGUGAGAUCGGUGGGAGCCCCGGGCGCGCCUCCUCAGCCCCUUAGCUGCCGCGCAGGUCCCCGCGGGCCGGGCCGGGCCGGGCGGGGCCUCCGGCGAGGUCCUUGCUGCGUCGGGGCCGCCUCCCCACCCGCCGGGCGCACUGGAGCCCCACGCGCGGCGGCGUCUGGUGGGCGGGGCGGGGUCCCUGGAAUGAGCCGCGCAUCCCGGGCGCGACCCGAGCGCUGGGGCGAGUGGGUGCGCGGCACUGCGGGCUGGGAGCGCCCCUCGACUCGGCCCUCGCCCCUCGCGGCCCCGGCGCUUUCCGGGUGCGCCCGCGCCCCGCCCCCACCGUCCCCGCCCUGUGCGCGGGGGCCCAGAGUGGCCCGGCCGGCGUUGAAUGCAGAGAUGGGGCUUUGUGAGCGGCCGUCCCCCGCGCGCGCCCCCCGCGGCCCUCCCUCUCCCCCCGCGCGCCCCCCGCGGCCCGGCCCCUCCCCCGUGCGUACCCCGCAGCCCGGCCCCUCCCCCCGCACCCCGGGCCCGGCCCCCGCCCUCAUUAGCAUAGCAGCUGCUCGCCGAGCCGGACGGCGCGGAGGAGAGGGCAGAGGCCUCGGGAAUGAAUGGGGGCCGGGGCUUUGGAGGCGAGAGAAGAAAGACCGACAGACGGACGCGCGGAGAACGGUCGGAAGGACGGCCCCGCAGAAGAAUGCGCCGGACGGGCUUGGGGGGCUUCCCGCGGGGGGCGGGGCGGCUCCGGGCGAUGGAGCCGGAGUGUGCGGGGUUGGGCCCAGGGACCCGGCGCCCCGAGGGUUUGCACCGGAGGAAGGAGCAGUUGCAGAGGUUCCAAGACGGGCCACGGUCCCCUCCCGUGGCCUGCGCCCUCGCAUCCCGGCCUGGGGUUCUUUCCCCAGCUGUCCCCGGCGCGGGCCUCCUUUCCCGUUCUUCAAGGCCCUGGUGGACGCUGCCUUCUCCCCGCGGGCCAAGCGAGCUUCAGGAGCAUCUGCCUUCCGGAGGUCAGAGGCUUUUGCGCCGGGUGUUCCCGCGUCCACGCCCCCUCUGUCCCGACCUGUGCGGAGGCAGCUUCUUCCCGCUCUCCCCCGCACCCCGGCUUCUAAGUCCUGCCCGCCCUCUGGCCUGCUCCCACGCCUGCUGGCUUUAGACAUCACUCUUUCUAGCUGA